AAUCUUGCGCCAUGGGCGAAAGCCUGACGCAGCCAUGCCGCGUGAAUGAUGAAGGUCUUAGGAUUUUAAAAUUCUUUCACCGGGGACGAUAAUGACGGUACCCGGAGAAGAAGCCCCGGCUAACUUUGUGCCAGCAGCCGCGGUAAUACGAAGGGGGCUAGCGUUGCCCGGAGUUACUGGGCGUAAGGGGCCGGUAGGCGGAUCGUUAAGUCAGGGGUGAAAUCCCGGGGCUCAACCACGGAACUGCCCUUGAUACUGGCGAUCUUGGGUAUGAGGGAGGUAUGUGGAACUCCGAGUGUAGGGGUGAAAUUCGUAGAUAUUCGGAAGAACACCAGUGGCGAAGGCGACAUACUGGCUCAUUACUGACGCUGAGGCGCGAAAGCGUGGGGAGCAAACA
rnacentral:rRNA from 1 species